GGGGCCGUUCCGGAAAUUGGGUGUUAGUGCGUCUUAAAGACUCACAGUGACUCUGAUUUAAUGACUUUCUCUCUAUCCUGAAUUGAACCUGCGGCUGGCGUUACCCGCUAAAUGAUGAUUAUACAACUGAUGGGAGAUUACACACAGUUUAGGAGGACACACCCGCACACACACACAAACACACACACACGGACGAAUGCAUUAACCACACACGCCCAGGAACCUUGAGGGCAUCACUAGAGUGCAGAGCAGACCGGAGUGAUUGGGGUAGAAAGGUUAAUUAAAUCCUAUUUCUGUGUCAGUCGAGGGUGAAACCAUAAAAAACUGUGUGGAGGUUUGAAAAUGAAAAUGUGAUCGAUUAGAUUAUACAACGCAACACUAAUCUGUUGAUCAAUACUAUUGAUAGAGCGGCUGUACGACUGUUUCUGCAGCCAUCUGGAUUUCAAGCAUGGACAUUUUGGCAGGGUCGCCUUUUGAUCCGACCCAAAUGACCCUUUCAAAAUAAAAGCACAGAAGUUUGCAGACGAAACAAAAUCAGCCCAGCAGACACAACAACAACAAAGACGACGAGCCAAAAGAAUGAUUCACAAAAUUUUAGCGUGAAUCCAGAUGUUACAAAUUUCCUUAUUUCGAAUUUCUUCUGCAGACUUUUCCAAAACGCAGCCGCCAACAUCACAAAAACACUAUUUCCUGCACCUUCAAGGUAUUUAGGAAGGUAAAUAUUCUCCGCGCUCUCUCUUGAGAAGACCAGAAAACUUCAUAAGAAGAAAGCUUUGAAGCAUUUUGAGGAUUUCUGCCAAACUUUUAACAGAAUAAAUGGAUCCAGUCCUACCUUUGAGCCCGUGACUCCCAUUGUUGUAAGUCCUCUUUACACUUCUCUACUGAGUCCUCUGGAAACCCGAGACAAACCGGAGGUGACACCAGAGACGAGGACCCGCGGUGGGAUCCGAUCCCCGCAAAUAUGCCGUCACGGCCUGGGGUCGUAAACAAAUCCACCAUCCCUGAGCGAGACACACCCUCGUGUUUCUACUCAGCCCCCCACCACCACCAUCCUUCCCCAUCAUCAUCCAAGUAUCUGCAGCUCCACCUUACCCAGUUUGUGACUCCUCUCUCUGACAUGUGGGUUCAUUAUUAAGGCGUCAACAAACAACCUCACCACAAACAUAUUUCUUCACACAAACAUCAGAUUUCUUCGUUUAUAUUCAUACAAACUCUAACAAAUACACCAAAAAUGUAAGACUUUGAAGGCAAAGGUGUUUUUAUUUGCUAGGUUGAGAUUUUGAACUCAACCUAGCAAAUAAAAACACAAAAAAUCUAACCCUACGACACCACCAACCACCGCCUCAGGGGAGCAGGUCAAAGCCACGGCGCCCGGUCCAGAAAUAGUUUGAACUUAAUGGGAUUUGGCCACUUCACAGAGACAAAUAAAGUCCCAGACUCUGAUCCACAAAUCAAGAAGACAAGCAGGAAAUAUGAUUGAGCCACACAAACUGCACGUCCCCAUGGCAGAGGCAGCAGCAAAGAGAGAGGGAGAGGGAGAAAGAGGAAGAGAGAGAGGUUCGGCGUGGAGAGAAAUAUGAAAUGACAGAUGGGCAGAUGCAGAAAUGACGGUUUUAGAGGAAAGUGAUGCAGCUGUCUGGUAAUGUCUGACAGAGAGGAAAAAAUAAAGAGAAAGCUUCAAAUUUGUUCUAUUUAAGAUUUAAUCUGACUUUGUGGAGUAUUAUGGUGCCACAGGCGGGUUUCAGUCAUCGUGUCCUUAAGGAGUCUUAGGGUCAGGGUUAUAUAUGUGUACAUCAGGGAAUUUUGAGCACUGAUGUAACCCUAACACUAGCCCAUACACUUACCCUAACCCGCAUUUUGAGACCUAAUGUAACCCUUACCCCAAUUCUGGCCCUAGCCCUAGCCCUAACCCAAACCCUUACCCUACCCUAGCCCAAGCUCUAACAUGAGCCCUAGCCCUUACCCUAACCCCAACUCUAACCCUAGACCUAAUCUUAACCCCAACUCUAACCCUAACCCCAACUCUAAUCCUCGCCCUUACCCUAACCCUUAGCCUAACCCUAACUUUCUCCCUAACCCUAACCCUUACCCUAGCCCUAGCUCUAACCUUUACCCUAACCCAAACUCUAACCCGAGCCCUAACCUUUACCCUAACCCCAAACCAGAAGUGGAAGCAACCAGCCGAUUAAUUUAAAGUUAAAUCAACCUGAACUUUUUUGUCCCUUACGCCUAAAUGCAUAAAAUGGGUUUUAAUUUAUCUUAUUUGUUUGACAUACAAUACACUGAAUAUUAGAGUUAAUUAGGCCAUGUUCCGAUCUGUUUGACACCCUUUAAAUCCUCCUAAAUUAGACAUUCAAGUCAAAAUUCUGGACUCCCUGUUGGGAUUGAACCAAAACAAUGUAAAACAGAUUUUGUAAGCCUAGUUAUGACGCAUAUAUCCUCGUGACUUCCAUGGAAUUUAUAAAAUACCUGUUUUUGUUUUUUUUACCAGGGCUGAUGGGUAUAUGACUUUUGCAGAGAAUACUUCACUUGUUUGUUUUACUCUGGUUUACUAUUUUCCACAAAGCUUUCACCACCUCUUUCUCUAUGUUUGCCUAAAUACAAGAUUAGUCUUAAAUGUCCUCUAAUCUGGGAUCAAAACCUAUCCCUGUUUCGCAGGGAUCCUGGGUACUUUUUCCACCUUUGCCUUUGGCGAUGUCCCUUUUCUUCUUUUCCAUUCUGUGUGUCUGCAUAAUGGGUUUUUAAACUCAUUUCCAUGGGUUUGGCUGACAGAUAGGCUCAGAGCCAAAAACAACCAACUGGAUAUUUUGGUUUUCUGCUAUUGCAAGAUCAGUAUUUUUAAACCACAACUGUCAUGUUGUCCUGGAAAUUGGGCAUGAAAUGUUCACCAAUUCUUGGCAAUGUUAUCUCUAAUAGAUAAACAAAGGGUCAAGAGAAGUUUGAAAGGAGUUAGAAAUGAAUGUUUUGGGAAUUAGUCCAACUACAAGACAGUUCUCUCAGUCUAAAUUCUACUAAACUACUUUAACAAAAGCGUAAAAAAGUGUUUUAGAGGGUUCAAAACAAGUAAACUAUAUAAUGUAAAUGACAUUUGAUGGGC